CAAAAUUAAAAGACAAGAAAAAAAGGAAAAACCCAGCCAAAGUGAACCCCAAGAAUAAAAUUUGUAUAGUCCAAAACAAAAACAAAUACACAGAAACACUUACAGAAGAAUAAGAUGGAAAGGUGAUUAUAAAUGCUUGUUAUUUUGGUUCUUCUUGGUUGUAUUUUGUUAUCUUUGUUAAAGGACUCACUUUUCUAGGGAUACAGGGAAAUUAAAACUGAUGUGUGUGUACAGGGGUAGUAUUCAGUAGUGAAAAAGGAUUACUUUGAAUCAUAUAUAUGUAUAUAUACCAAUAAAGAAGGAAAAUAUAAAGAAGGAAACACAGGUAUAUGUAUGAAAAAAGUUCAAGCGUUAUUAUGUAAUAUGUUGUAUUGAACAUCUAGUUGUAGUGGUAGGUAGGUUAAAAAAUU